rnacentral:rRNA from 1 species
GACGAACGCUGGCGGCGUGCUUAACACAUGCAAGUCGAACGGAAAGGCCCUGCUUUUGUGGGGUGCUCGAGUGGCGAACGGGUGAGUAACACGUGAGUAACCUGCCCUUGACUUUGGGAUAACUUCAGGAAACUGGGGCUAAUACCGGAUAGGAGCUCCUGCUGCAUGGUGGGGGUUGGAAAGUUUCGGCGGUUGGGGAUGGACUCGCGGCUUAUCAGCUUGUUGGUGGGGUAGUGGCUUACCAAGGCUUUGACGGGUAGCCGGCCUGAGAGGGUGACCGGCCACAUUGGGACUGAGAUACGGCCCAGACUCCUACGGGAGGCAGCAGUGGGGAAUAUUGCACAAUGGGCGGAAGCCUGAUGCAGCAACGCCGCGUGCGGGAUGACGGCCUUCGGGUUGUAAACCGCUUUCGCCUGCGACGAAGCGUGAGUGACGGUAAUGGGUAAAGAAGCACCGGCUAACUACGUGCCAGCAGCCGCGGUGAUACGUAGGGUGCGAGCGUUGUCCGGAUUUAUUGGGCGUAAAGGGCUCGUAGGUGGUUGAUCGCGUCGGAAGUGUAAUCUUGGGGCUUAACCCUGAGCGUGCUUUCGAUACGGGUUGACUUGAGGAAGGUAGGGGAGAAUGGAAUUCCUGGUGGAGCGUGGAAUGCGCAGAUAUCAGGAGGAACACCAGUGGCGAAGGCGGUUCUCUGGGCCUUUCCUGACGCUGAGGAGCGAAAGCGUGGGGAGCGAACAGGCUUAGAUACCCUGGUAGUCCACGCUGUAAACGGUGGGUACUAGGUGUGGGGUCCAUUCCACGGGUUCCGUGCCGUAGCUAACGCUUUAAGUACCCCGCCUGGGGAGUACGGCCGCAAGGCUAAAACUCAAAGGAAUUGACGGGGCCCCGCACAAGCGGCGGAGCAUGCGGAUUAAUUCGAUGCAACGCGUAGAACCUUACCUGGGUUUGACAUGGAUCGGGAGUGCUCAGAGAUGGGUGUGCCUCUUUUGGGGUCGGUUCACAGGUGGUGCAUGCCUGUCGUCAGCUCGUGUCGUGAGAUGUUGGGUUAAGUCCCGCAACGAGCGCAACCCUUGUUCACUGUUGCCAGCACGUUAUGGUGGGGACUCAGUGGAGACCGCCGGGGUCAACUCGGAGGAAGGUGGGGAUGACGUCAAGUCAUCAUGCCCCUUAUGUCCAGGGCUUCACGCAUGCUACAAUGGCUGGUACAGAGAGUGGCGAGCCUGUGAGGGUGAGCGAAUCUCGGAAAGCCGGUCUCAGUUCGGAUUGGGGUCUGCAACUCGACCUCAUGAAGUCGGAGUCGCUAGUAAUCGCAGAUCAGCAACGCUGCGGUGAAUAAGUUCCCGGGGCU